rnacentral:rRNA from 1 species
GACGAACGCUGGCGGCGUGCUUAACACAUGCAAGUCGAACGGAAAGGCCCUGCUUUUGUGGGGUGCUCGAGUGGCGAACGGGUGAGUAACACGUGAGUAACCUGCCCUUGACUUUGGGAUAACUUCAGGAAACUGGGGCUAAUACCGGAUAGGAGCUCCUGCUGCAUGGUGGGGGUUGGAAAGUUUCGGCGGUUGGGGAUGGACUCGCGGCUUAUCAGCUUGUUGGUGGGGUAGUGGCUUACCAAGGCGUUGACGGGUAGCCCGCCUGAGAGGGUGACCGGGCCCAUUGGGACUGCGAUACGGCCCAGACGCCUACGGGAGGCAGCAGUGGGGAAUAUUGCACAAUGGGCGGAAGCCUGAUGCAGCAACGCCGCGUGCGGGAUGACGGCCUUCGGGUUGUAACCCGAUUUCGCCUGUGACGAAGCGUGAGUGACGGUAAUGGGUAAAGAAGCACCGGCUAACUACGUG